GGGGCCUUAGCUCAGUUGGUAGAGCACCUGCUUUGCAAGCAGGGGGUCACCGGUUCGAACCCGGUAGGCUCCA
rnacentral:tRNA from 3 species